GAGACCCCUUCGGAGUAUUGCUGCAGAUCAGCUACUGACCCAUUUGGUGGCAUUCCUGGCAUGUUAGUUUGACUACUUGAAGCACGAUUCAUGCUAAUUGGUCUAGGUUGGACAUGAUCUUCCACAAGGAAUCCUUCACGUGCCAUCAGUGAACAAAACUGUGCAGCAAGCAAGUCUGCAAAGUGAGUAUUCGGCAGCGUUGGGAGGUGCUCCUCAACAUUUGUGUAUUCGACCUCUUCUAUUUCUCCAAUAAGCAUUGAUACAGUACCGUCAUUUGGCUUUUCUGACAAGACCAUUCUAGUCCGCGCCUUAGGAACACAUGAAUAACCAUUUCCUUGAAGAACUCGCUCUGUCUGCAGAAAAUCCAAGACUCUUCUUUUGCAAACAUUUGUACUGCCACCUACUAAUGAUUUUGACAAUGACAUUUUGCAGGAUUCAUCUUUGACAUUCUCAUUGUUUGAAUCAUUAGUAGAAAGAUGAACAUGCAGCUGCUGAGUAGGAAAGACAUUUGGCUUCCUGCUAGAAAAUUCCUCAACCUUGCUCUUUUUGGGAUAAAGUUGAAACCUAGUUGUCAGCAUUUCAAUUUUGGAGAACCUUUCAAGUAUGAUUUGGUCAGCUGAGUGUGUAGAUCCUACGGGAGGACUGCUUGCAUUUAUUGGAAGACUCAUGGUACUGACACUGGCAGGAGAACCAACUCCGCUCAUCAUGGGGGUCUUAGGAACAGAAUUGGAUCUCCGCCUUGCAGCAAUUUGAGCCUGGUGUUGCCGCUGCAUGGAAUCAUUGGCGCUAGAAGUCAUAGAAGUUGUUCCACCAGCUGGAGCAACAGAUGUGGAUCCUUGCUUCUCCUUCAUUGAUUGUAUAAGUCCACUAGUCACAGCUGCACCGUAUUGAGCUCCUACAGAACCAUUAGAAAACUCUCCAGACUUAGAGGAUAAAGGAGAUUGAGGCAAGCCUCCUGCAGAUACACGAGGACUUUGCACUAUUUUCCUGUUCUGGAAUGGGUCUUCUUUCCGAAGAUUGUUUUCAAGAGGCUGACCAAGGCCAUUCCAGGGUGUCUGAGGAAAACCAGACCGCGUAAACUGCUGCGUCAUUCUCUGCUUUAGUCGGGCCUGCUGGGAUUCCAUAAGGUUCAUAUCCGAUUCCACCAUCUGCAUCUCAUUUUUAGUCCUUCCUGGCUCUAAUUUGUCCAAUCUCUCUAUCUCAGCAGGCUCUUCCUUUAAGUUAUACUUUAUUCCUUGCUGUCCUGUGAAUGGCAUUGUUCCAGCUUCCUGGUUCAGACCCCCU
rnacentral:misc_RNA from 1 species